rnacentral:rRNA from 1 species
AAACGAUGUCUACUAGUUGUCGGGUUUUAACUAACUUGGUAACGCAGCUAACGCGUGAAGUAGACCGCCUGGGGAGUACGGUCGCAAGAUUAAAACUCAAAGGAAUUGACGGGGACCCGCACAAGCGGUGGAUGAUGUGGAUUAAUUCGAUGCAACGCGAAAAACCUUACCUACCCUUGACAUGUACGGAAGGCCGAAGAGAUUUGGCUGUGCUCGAAAGAGAACCGUAACACAGGUGCUGCAUGGCUGUCGUCAGCUCGUGUCGUGGGAUGUUGGGUUAAGUCCCGCAACGAGCGCAACCCUUGUCAUUAGUUGCUACGAAAGGGCACUCUAAUGAGACUGCCGGUGACAAACCGGAGGAAGGUGGGGAUGACGUCAAGUCCUCAUGGCCCUUAUGGGUAGGGCUUCACACGUCAUACAAUGGUACAUACAGAGCGCCGCCAACCCGCGAGGGGGAGCUAAUCGCAGAAAGUGUAUCGUAGUCCGGAUUGUAGUCUGCAACUCGACUGCAUGAAGUUGGAAUCGCUAGUAAUCGCGGAUCAGCAUGUCGCGGUGAAUACGUUCCCGGGUCUUGUACACACCGCCCGUCACACCAUGGGAGCGGGUUUUACCAGAAGUAGGUAGCUUAACCGCAAGGAGGGCGCUUACCACGGUAGGAUUCGUGACUGGGGUGAAGUCGUAACAAGGUAACCGUAAAU